rnacentral:antisense_RNA from 1 species
CUUCAACGAGCCGAGCCACAGCGGGCGUUCGGCCGGCCGGUCCUUGCCGUAGGUGGCGAUCAGGGCCUGGGCCUC